CGAAAGUAUGACAUAAUCACUACACCAGCUGAGCGAGUAGAGAUGGCUCCUUUGAAUGAAGAGAAUGAUGAUGAAGAGGACUCCACCCUCUUUGAUGUUAAGUACAGGUGAAUGGCAACAUUAAUCAGAUGAUGCUGGAUUUUGAUUGCACCAUUCUCUCUAAGGGGAACACAACCCACGGAUUUGUGGCUUAAUGUUGUCUCAUAAUGUCUUCCAAUUUUUGGUAACUUUUCAGGUCUAGUCAAGUUAUUCAUUUCUCACAAUAUUUGCAAAAAAGGGUUACACUGUUUUUCUAUAAUGUAUUAUGUUUAUGAACGUGCUGUAUUUACAAAAAAAUUAUUCUAACAGAACACUCAUCUUCAAAGACAUAUUGCACAUAUUUUCUGAAUUGGGGCUAGACUGCAUAAAUGCAAAGGGAUAUUGCUUCUGAAAGGUAUUAACUAACUUAAUAGAUAGCAUUUCAUGGCUGCUGAUGAGGGCAGGGAAUUACUAUUACAAUGCUCUAUGUAUUGUGAUUCUCAUUCUUAAAGUCUGUUGAGAUUUUAUACUGUAAUUGUAUUUCAAUUUGCAGACAUAUAAGACUGCAUGAGUAAAUGUUUUAAUCAAUCAUGAAAGUACAAAUCCUGAAAACACUCUUAUAAAGAAGAUGAAGAACAAGCAAUAUGAAUGAUGACAAUGUGACGCAAUUACAGCCAUGUAGCGCUAGCUAUUGCACAUAGCAAAAUAUAAAAAUUGUACUUUUAGUCAAAGUAUCUAUAUAAAAUCAUCAACAUAACAUUAGAAUAUGUAACUGUUUUUGUUUUGCUAUUGCCACUUAAAGGCUGUCUUUAAGUUUCUGGCUGUCCUCUAAUGUUUGUGGUUUGUUAUUCAUUGUCUUUCAGACAUUGUUUUAUUGAUGUAUGGUUUGCACAUUGAAACAUUCUUAUUUACUAGUUGGGUGCAACAUUUGUUUAAUUGUCAGGUAUUUGAUUAUACUAAAUAUUACACUAACCUCUAAAAUGUAGAUACACUGUCUGAGGCUUUUUUUGUCCUCGUGUCUCAUGGUGGAUUUGGGUGCAUUGUUAUAUUGUAAGAUUUGCUGCUAUUUCUAACCUGAGGUUGGAUGAUGUUGUUAGGUGCAUGGAUUUGGUCACAGUGACACACAGCAUAUAGUGAAAAACAAUUCAUACAAUAGAUUGUAGGAGUUUGUUUCUCAAAGUUGUAUUGUAAAAUGUAUAAAUAGGUCUGUGUGUAUAUACACAUACAUACGCAUAGAGAGAGAGAUGUUUCAUUUUUUUAUAUUUUAUUAUAAAGCUUUUCUUAGGUAACAUUGGAUUUUAUGUUGGGAAAUAUUUGUAAUUAAAAAAGAAAUAUAUAACUUUUUGUUAGAGACAUCUUUCACUGCAGUAACAACUUCCAGCAUUUUACAGUGUUGGGGUGCUUUACUGUAUGUCUAUUCUGGUUCCAGAUUUUCUCCUGGUUUUCAGGUUGGCUGGAGAAAUCUUGUGUAUUGCAAUAUUCCAAAUAUUGCCACAGAUUCUUAAAUAGAUUGUGAUUAGGAAUUUGACUGGGCCACGGUAGGACAUUCACUUAAUGUUUUUCAACUACUCCAAUCUUGCUUUGGUUUUGUGAAUGGGAUCAUUGUCCUGCUGAAAGAUGCAUUUCCUCCCAAGCUUAAUUUUUCUAGUGAACCUUCUCCGUUGAACCAGUUUAUUUAUCUGAAAUUAUUUAUCAACUGCAGUUCAUACAGGGGUUUCCAAGUAACUCUGAUUAAUUCAAUUUGAGCUACCUGUUAGUCAUAUCUGUGUAUGCAAAUGUUUCCAUUUGUACUAAAAACAGUAGCAGAAGCAACAUGUUGCAUACAAUCAUUACUGGUGCAUUUUAUGUUAUUUUCAGUUGCUUAUACUGAAAUUCAACACUACUGUUGUUUGCUCCUUGGGGUGUUUUUGUAAAAGCACUUUGUGACAACUGCUGUUGUAAAAAGGGCUUUAUAAAUACAUUUGAUUGAUUAUACAGUAGAUAAUACAUUCAAUAAGCUUAUAAAAAGCAUAUUUUAUGUUCCAAAUACCAUGUAUUGACUCUACUAGCUCUUAUUAUAUUGUCAAAAGUAACACCAUAAUGGGAACUUAAAUUUGCCACACUCGGACAGUCCUGUCUGGGUUAAGUUGCCAGCUUUUUUAAAUCCGAGGUUCGGGUAUCAUUUUUUCAAACUCUUUAAACUUUAUUCACUUCAAGGAAUUAUGCUGGCAAUGAAUAACUGAUCUGCACAAGAUUUUCAUUAAGCCAUCUUCCCGCUGUAGAUAGAUCUACAUGGCCUUUGCUAUUGCUGUAAACACUUAAAGGGUAGGCACCACUGACUUAAAAUGUAUGUCAUGUAUGUUAUUUGUAUUUUAACUGUGCUAAUAUGUUAACCAUUUUAAAAUAGAUCAACCAUCAAUCUGCCUGCUAUGGUCCUGGGUCAAUGGUAUCGUACAGUUUUCAUAGUACUAGGACAUUUGAGCUAAAAACCUAGUUACCUAAAACGUUGCCUCAAGUACAAUUAUAAUUUAGUAACAUUCUAGUAAUCUAACGACAGAGUAAUUAUAGUAAUAUUUUUUAACUGCAACAACUGGUGUUCUUCCUAACUUUUUGAAACAUCUGGCAGUUUGACCACUUUCACAACAGUUUAUUUAACACUUAUGAAACCGUAAAAAAUCUUCCUUCUCUGCUAUUCCAGUAUAAAGUCAGAAAACUUCUUCCACUCCCACAAGAAAGUUACUGCAUGCCCCAGGACGUGUGUACACAUUUUAAAUCAAGUUUUAUAUUGCAGUUAUCAGAGAUUUUGAUAUUUUGUGAUUUUUAAUGCUUCAGGUUUUAAUAAUGUUCAGUUGGCAUCUUGUGUCUUUGAUUGCACUCUUGGUGUUUUUGUUUUAGAUUUACUGUUGCUGGACCAUCUCAUCUUCAUUAUACUCUCAAAAAGGAUAUUAGUGUGAAUGUUUAUGAUUUUCAGUGCAGUGUGUGAAUGUACAAUUACCUAUCAUUUGUAUGUUUCAGAUUUUGUCAGCUUUACAUCUUGUAAAUGCAACUUUAGCUGCUAUUCUCUAUGUAGACCUUAUCCUCAUCCUAACCAACCGCCAAAACAAUAAAAGCCUAAAUGAGAA